rnacentral:rRNA from 1 species
UGGGGAAUAUUGCACAAUGGACGGAAGUUUGAUGCAGCGACGCCGCGUGGAGGGUGUAGGCCUUCGGGUUGUGAACUCCUUUUUCUCGCGAAAAAGGCACAGUUUUGGCUGUGUUGAUGGUAGUGGGGGAAGAAGCGCCGGCUAACUACGUGCCAGCAGCCGCGGUAAUACGUAGGGCGCGAGCGUUGUCCGGAUUUAUUGGGCGUAAAGGGCUUGUAGGUGGCUGGUUGCGUCUGUCGUGAAAGCUCAUGGCUUAACUGUGGGUUUGCGGUGGGUACGGGCUGGCUUGAGUGCAGUAGGGGAGGCUGGAAUUCCUGGUGUAGCGGUGGAAUGCGCAGAUAUCAGGAGGAAUACCGGUGGCGAAGGCGGGUCUCUGGGCUGUUACUGACGCUGAGGAGCGAAAGCGUGGGGAGCGAACAGG